UAGGCUCCUGGAAGAACCUCAGGGUUAUAUCUAAGUCAGCAGGACCCAGAAGAGUUAUAUUUAUUAGCACAGCUGUCUACAUUCAUCCUUGCUUUUCUUUAUUUAAAAAAAAAAACAGGAUAAUUGAAGAGAUUUUAAAUUGGCUUCUACUAACAUGAUAAAUAUAGUUUAAAAAUAACAAUGAUAGAUGGUGUUUAGAUGCUAGUUGUUCAAGCCUCUAAUCCUAGCUGCUAAGAAGGCAGAGAUUGGGAGAUUGCAGUUUGAGGCCAGUUCAAGCAUAAAAACUCCAGAGAUUCUCUCCAUCAGUGGAUAGAUGAGGUAGUCGGCACCCAUUCUUCCAGCUACAGGGGACUCACACUGGAAUCCCAGUGGCA